GAUUCUGAUGGUGCUCUCUGCCUGGUGGAGGCCCUUCACGCCACAACAGGCCUUGUAACUGAUGAAGAGGAUGAAACUGUGUCUGCUGCCUUUACAGAGGGGGAUUCAGAAAGGCAUACAGAGAGCAUGGCUGGGCAACAGCAGGACGGUCCCUCAACUUCCACUGCACAGAUGGACACAUUACCAGUAAAAGAGAUGUACAAAAUACACUUGCUGAAAAAAAUCCAGAAAACAGAUAAAGAAAUACAAUACUUGGACCGCCAGGUUAGGAGGGCCGAUCUGGAAAUUGAAAUACUGGAGCUCCAGUUAGAGGAAAUAAAGAAGACCAAAUGAAA